rnacentral:rRNA from 1 species
UACAGAGGGGGCAAGCGUUGUUCGGAAUUACUGGGCGUAAAGGGCGCGUAGGCGGCCGCCUAAGUCAGACGUGAAAUCCCUCGGCUCAACCGGGGAACUGCGUCUGAUACUGGGUGGCUUGAAUCCGGGAGAGGGAUGCGGAAUUCCAGGUGUAGCGGUGAGAUGCGUAGAUAUCUGGAGGAACACCGGUGGCGAAGGCGGCAUCCUGGACCGGUAUUGACGCUGAGGCGCGAAAGCCAGGGGAGCAAACGGG